rnacentral:piRNA from 1 species
UUGCAAGCCCACACUGUGUCUAAGGGG